rnacentral:rRNA from 1 species
UACAGAGGUCUCAAGCGUUGUUCGGAUUCAUUGGGCGUAAAGGGUGCGUAGGCGGCGGGGUAAGUCUGAUGUGAAAUCCCGGGGCUCAACCCCGGAACUGCAUUGGAUACUGCCUUGCUUGAGUACUGGAGAGGAGACUGGAAUUUACGGUGUAGCAGUGAAAUGCGUAGAUAUCGUAAGGAAGACCAGUGGCGAAGGCGGCUUCCUGGCCUGCAACUGACGCUGAGACGCGAAAGCUAGGGGAGCAAACAGG